rnacentral:rRNA from 1 species
UACGAAGGGGGCUAGCGUUGCUCGGAAUCACUGGGCGUAAAGCGCACGUAGGCGGAUUGUUAAGUCAGGGGUGAAAUCCUGGAGCUCAACUCCAGAACUGCCUUUGAUACUGGCGAUCUUGAGUCCGGGAGAGGUGAGUGGAACUGCGAGUGUAGAGGUGAAAUUCGUAGAUAUUCGCAAGAACACCAGUGGCGAAGGCGGCUCACUGGCCCGGUACUGACGCUGAGGUGCGAAAGCGUGGGGAGCAAACGGG